UACGUAGGGGGCUAGCGUUGUCCGGAAUCAUUGGGCGUAAAGCGCGUGUAGGCGGCCCGGUAAGUCCGCUGUGAAAGUCGGGGGCUCAACCCUCGGAUGCCGGUGGAUACUGCCGGGCUUGAGUACGGAAGAGGCGAGUGGAAUUCCUGGUGUAGCGGUGAAAUGCGCAGAUAUCAGGAGGAACACCGAUUGCGAAGGCAGCUCGCUGGGACGUUACUGACGCUGAGGCACGAAAGCGUGGGGAGCAAACAGG
rnacentral:rRNA from 1 species